ACCUUAUUAUGUCUGUCUGGUGAGGAACGAAUUUAAUAUAGGGUGAAAAUUUCAUGUCGCUGACUCGACAAAUUAUGAAUUUAGGUACUAAACUAGUAAUAAUUUUAGAAACAACUUCGACCUACUUUCAGAGAAGUAUGUCAUUCUUCCAUGCGCAACUUUUUUUUUAGAAAUUUUAUUUUUCUGCAAAAAAGCGAUAUAUCAUUAUUGAUAACGUUUGAACUAAGAUAAUAGAAUAGAAAUUUGAAAAAGUAUCUAAGUGUAUAACGUUCGUGCAUAUGAACAAAGCAGAAAAGUAAUGAGGAUUAAAGAAUAUACAGUUAGAGGCAAAAAUAUAAACUGCAGCGUCGAAACACAACAUUCCACCAAAAGCGAUCUUUCUCAACUGACUGAAUUGAAGCGGAUUGCAAGAUUCACGAAGCAAGCAAAUCGUGCUUACCUCGUCCCAUCCCGAACUCUCCCGAUUCGACGCCAGUCGCUGCGCUCUGAUUGGCCCCUUUUCCUCUAGUCAACUGGACGAAAUCCUGUCUUUCUUUCGCCCCGCUCAAAGUACGACACGACAUGUUCGGAAACUCUGAUUAUACGUUUCUAGAGCAAUAAACUCUUUUAUAUUAUUCAAACAAUUCAGAAGUUUUUUUUUUUAUACCUUUUCGGUUAAUCAGGUGCCAAUGUUCCUUCGGUGAGCAGAUAAAAAUCUGUUGAUUCUACGUGACUAAAACUGUUGACAGUUACACCUUUCGAUAACUACACUGGUUUGAAAAAACUGGUUCAGAUUGUGUAAUUUAAAAUUCUGCGAAGCUGUAUCUAUUAACAAUCAAUGCUACAAAUCUAUAGUACGAAAAAAGUAGACAUAUAAUAUAUCUGUGUAUCUUUUACUGUUUACUUGCAAAAAAGAAUUUCGAUUAAAAUAUGAGUUCGAAUAAAUUUAAUAAAAGGGAAAAUUCCUUCGCGGUUUUAGUUGAUUGUAAGAAUGUUGGGAAAGUAAUGAAGUAUGUACAUUUAGGAAUGCAAUCAAUGUGGCAAUUCGUUAGUCUUUCCAUUUCUACUGUAUUAUUGCGCACAAUCCAAAGAAUUAUAAACUAUUUAUUAUAUAUCAAAAAUGCUAUUAAAAAGUAAUAACAAAUGAUC